rnacentral:rRNA from 1 species
CACGUAGUUAGCCGUGGCUUUCUGAUUAGGUACCGUCAAGACGUGCACAGUUACUUACACAUUUGUUCUUCCCUAAUAACAGAGUUUUACGAUCCGAAGACCUUCAUCACUCACGCGGCGUUGCUCCGUCAGGCUUCCGCCCAUUGCGGAAGAUUCCCUACUGCUGCCUCCCGUAGGAGUCUGGACCGUGUCUCAGUUCCAGUGUGGCCGAUCACCCUCUCAGGUCGGCUACGUAUCGUUGCCUUGGUAAGCCAUUACCCCACCAACUAGCUAAUACGGCGCGGGUCCAUCUAUAAGUGAUAGCAAAACCAUCUUUCACUUUAGAACCAUGCGGUUCUAAAUAUUAUCCGGCAUUAGCCCCGGUUUCCCGGAGUUAUUCCAGUCUUAUAGGUAGGUUACCCACGUGUUACUCACCCGUCCGCCGCUAACGUCAAAGGAGCAAGCUCCUUAUCUGUUCGCUCGACUUGCAUGUAUUAGGCACGCCGCCAGCGUUCAUCCUGAGCCAGGAUCAAACUCU